ACUUGCCGAGAUCAAGCUGCGUUGGGCGGGGUACAUGAGCGCUAAGUACCCGUUGGUUGUCUGGAUCAGAAAUCCGAAAAAGUCGGGGCAGAUUUUUUAAUAAACGCUCUCUUUAUAAACCGACCGCAAAUUUGAACUUUUUAUACAUACAUUCUCGCCUAAAAAGCUUUUGAACAUACACUUUGUGACACAAUAAGAGUAAUAUUUCAAACAUUAUGCAGGCGUUCUCUUCCAUUGGUGGCUGUCAUAAGUUCACACGAAUCUGCUGAUGACGUUUCACAUGGACAGACAACUACGCAUUAUUGUAUUUUUAAUUGUAUUUUUUGCGUGUGUUAUUUUUAUUUAAUUAUUAUGAAAAUCAUGGUCAUUAUUAUUGAGCCUUGGCUGGCAGUCUGUUUUGAAUUUGUUUUAUUGAAAAAACAAACACACAACGCUUAUUGUGUUGCGCCUGCGCAGUGACUUUCUUUUCCAACCGCCUUUCCAGUCAAGAGGACGUGACGAAUGUUCCUGUCUGCAUCAGCUAUCCAUCUGAAAAAGAAAAGCUGGCACUCUCAAAGGAGAUUGUGUUGUUGGAUUAUGGUCUCAUUUGGUCAAAAAGAGGGACAUGUACCGAGCAUUUUUUUUUUUUUUUUUUUUUUUGAUGGGCCAUCACACAGUGGAUUUAUAAAAAUUUGAUUACAGAACAUCAGACGGUAGCUUCAACAGAGUUGAAGUGGGAGGACAUCAUCAAUUAAGAAUGCCAUUGACCAAACCUUCAGUCAUCAAAGAAGAUGGAUACAGGGGGACAUCCAGUUUUCCAGACUUACCGAUGGGAAAGAAGAAAUGGGAAUGUGACAAUUAUUGAGAAACUCAGGGAAAAAGCAUCUUUAGAGAAGAAAAUGGACAUCAGACAUUUAUUGAAGAAAGCUGACAGUC